GAACCUUGCGGGUCGGAUCCCCUAAUUUGCACGUUUAGCUCGGUUUUCGCUAUCUGCAGCUGCCUUUUACCUACAUAUCUGCUUCCCUGGCCCCCAGUCUUCUCAUUCACUCGUAGUUUCAUGGACGCUCUGAUAUAGUGAUGAACGGAUUUGUGGGCGGAUAGAAAAUAGCUAAACAAAAUUUGGCUUGAGCAAAGAAACUUCAAUCUUAAGCCCAAUUUUAGCCUUUUCUAUCAGUCUCGAUUUUAUCAUAUUAAAUUAUCGUAUUCUGAAAUCCUUUGCUCUUAAUAUAUGGGGGAAUAAAGUUACAAAAAAGUGUCAAGUAUUAUA